rnacentral:rRNA from 1 species
AUUGAACGCUGGCGGCAUGCCUUACACAUGCAAGUCGAACGGCAGCACGGGUGCUUGCACCUGGUGGCGAGUGGCGAACGGGUGAGUAAUAUAUCGGAACGUACCUUAUUGUGGGGGAUAACGCAGCGAAAGCUGUGCCAAUACCGCAUAAUCCCUACGGGGGAAAGCGGGGGACCGUAAGGCCUCGCGCAAUUAGAGCGGCCGAUACCUGAUUAGCUAGUUGGUGAGGUAAAGGCUCACCAAGGCAACGAUCAGUAGCUGGUCUGAGAGGACGAUCAGCCACACUGGGACUGAGACACGGCCCAGACUCCUACGGGAGGCAGCAGUGGGGAAUUUUGGACAAUGGGGGCAACCCUGAUCCAGCAAUGCCGCGUGAGUGAAGAAGGCCUUCGGGUUGUAAAGCUCUUUUGUCAGGGAAGAAACAGCAGCUCUAACACAGUUUGCGAAUGACGGUACCUGAAGAAUAAGCACCGGCUAACUACGUGCCAGCCGCCGCCGUAAAAC